rnacentral:lncRNA from 1 species
GGUGUCAGAAGGGGUUUCAGGGAAAAGGCCUUAGUGGCCAGGACCCUCAUGUUCCUGCUGGUGGGUACUUGGGUGAAAGUGAGAACUAGAAGUCCUACAUAAGGAACAUUCCACUCUAGGGAGAGGAGAGCACAGUGACCUUCCAGAACCAAAUGUCCUAGCUGCACAGGUUCCCUCAUUCCUAGGAGGAGCCACCUGGGCUGCAUCCACUGUGAGAGUGGUUUCCAAGCUUGGGAAUGUGUUUAGCCAACAAUUGGGGUUCCUGGUGAACUGUGGGAGACAGGCUGCUUCCCUGAGCCAGUCCUAUGGUUUCUUUGUUAUGCUCGAAUUCGGGAUCCCCAAAAGAGCACCAGAGACCUAAGAUCGAUGUAAGCAGCAAAAAGGUUUUUAUUGUGAGCUAGCUUGGUCCUCCGCGUGCACACAGCAACUGGUGACGCUGAAAGGCUCUGAGCCCAGGGUUUGCAGCAAUUUUAUACACUCUUUGGAGAAGGCAGGGACCCCCACAUACAUCAUAGCAUCUCUUAGUAAAUCACACACCAUGGAAAAUCAAAUAACAACUCUAAAACAUGAUUAGCACAUUCACUGGCAGGAACAAGUUGGGUAGGGGUGAUUGGUUACUACAAGAGGGGGUUUCAUUUCAACUGAUUGGUUUAAGCCAAGAGGGGUGUUCUGUGCUAAACUACAUUCUUUCCCAACACGUUAUCAACCACCAUAAACUACUGGGAGGGUCGUCUGGCAUCCCAGGUGUUUCCCUGUCUCAUGCUGAUUGGUGGCUGCUAGGGGGUUGCUAUGGGUCCCACCUAGCCUGACUGAGUCAGGGACACCUGGCACAGCAGAUCUCUCCUGUUAUUUGUAGAUAAACAACUUAGCAGGGUGGGAAUGUGCCUAGGAGUGCUCUGUAGGUCUAUCCAAGGACAAAGGUUAUGUCCCUUUCUUGGACAGGCUUUGCUCUGAGGUAGAGGCUGGUUUUUCAUCUUCUGUCACAUCUGGC